rnacentral:rRNA from 1 species
GCAGUCGUAACAAGGUAACCGUAAGCUUGCUGCUUCGCUGACGAGUGGCGGACGGGUGAGUAAUGUCUGGGAAACUGCCUGAUGGAGGGGGAUAACUACUGGAAACGGUAGCUAAUACCGCAUAACGUCGCAAGACCAAAGAGGGGGACCUUCGGGCCUCUUGCCAUCGGAUGUGCCCAGAUGGGAUUAGCUAGUAGGUGGGGUAACGGCUCACCUAGGCGACGAUCCCUAGCUGGUCUGAGAGGAUGACCAGCGACACUGGAACUGAGACACGGUCCAGACUCCUACGGGAGGCAGCAGUGGGGAAUAUUGCACAAUGGGCGCAAGCCUGAUGCAGCCAUGCCGCGUGUAUGAAGAAGGCCUUCGGGUUGUAAAGUACUUUCAGCGGGGAGGAAGGCGAUAAGGUUAAUAACCUUGUCGAUUGACGUUACCCGCAGAAGAAGCACCGGCUAACUCCGUGCCAGCAGCCGCGGUAAUACGGAGGGUGCAAGCGUUAAUCGGAAUUACUGGGCGUAAAGCGCACGCAGGCGGUCUGUCAAGUCGGAUGUGAAAUCCCCGGGCUCAACCUGGGAACUGCAUUCGAAACUGGCAGGCUAGAGUCUUGUAGAGGGGGGUAGAAUUCCAGGUGUAGCGGUGAAAUGCGUAGAGAUCUGGAGGAUACCGGUGGCGAUGGCAGCCCC